GUUUUAUAUUUACGGUCUCUCCCACUACUAUUUCGCCAAAUUCAACCAUUGAAGCACAGAUUUCUCUUUUCCAAUUCAUUUCAAGUCUUUGAUUUUUGGAUAUUAAGUCUUUUUCUCUUUCUCCAAAUUCAACAAUGGAGCGGUUUGAUUCUCGAUUAUUGAAUAUUAAAUCAUUUUCUCUUUCCCCAAAUUCAACAAUGGAGCGAUCUGGUUCUCAGUAAGUAUUCCUCUCUUUCAAUUUAUUUCAAGUCCUUGAUUGGUUAUAUUUUUGUUUUAGGUAGCUUUUUGGUAUUUUUUUCACUUCUUUUCUUCCUAAAGAUUUUUAAUCAUUAAAUGCAAAAUCUGACCCAACAAGUUUUAAUUUGUCACCAUGAUAUACUGGAAAUAACAGGGCUAGUAGUGCCCUAAAUAAAAGAGUUCUUGCCUCUGAAAAUGCGUUGACUGACCAAAGGAAUAGGAGACUGGGGGUAACAUACUUUCAAUAUGUUUCUGGGUUAAUAUUUGCAAGGUUUUAUUAUUUUAUCAUCUUUUAAGGUCAUGGAUUGUGUUAACUAUGAUGGAUUAUUCAUGUUGAUCUCCUUGCAUUGCUUUGAAUGUCUUUACAAACUCUGCCCAAUCUUUUGAAUGUCUUGAAUACCUUUCCUUUCUCUCUCUUAAUGUAAUAGGAAGCCAAAACUUUUGACUUCAGUUUGACUGCAGCAUCAUCAAGAUCUUGCAAAUAUGUCCUAAAUACACUUAUGCUGAAGAUUCCUAAAUUUUACGAGUCUGAUGCUACGAAAAGGCUUUGAAUUUACUCUAGAAUGAAGUGCUAUGUCUGCUAUAAAAGUAUCUACAAGAUAUGCCAAAUCUUGCCUCUACAAUAGGCAACAAACAUGUUUUGUGAUACUGCAAGGCUUGGAUGUCUAAAUUUUAUGAGGCUGAACAGAACUCUAAGCCAUUGAUUACCAUGGAAAAGGCAGUGGAUUUUCUCUGCAAUGAAGAAGCACUACUUCUGCUUGCUAAACAGUAAGCAUACUCACAAUGAUGAUGUUAAAGUUAUUCAUAUGCAUAGGUGCCUCUUUAAUGUUCUGGGAAUUAUCAAUUUGUAUGCAUCCAACAGAACAUUUUUUCAUGUGGCUCAAAUCAUAUUUUACAUUUAAUUUGUUAGGCACUUAGGCUUGUGUUCCAAAGAAUUGAUUACUAUUGCCAACCAUUGCAAGUAUAAAGUUGCAAAAGUUGUUGCUCAAUUAUAAACGAAAUUGCCAGAUUGUAGGAGUACAUUGAGCAGUGUAUUAAUUACUUUGAAAAGGCAGUAGAUUUCUUCCAAAGCCUACCGAUGCAAAGUCCAAGUAGAAUGUUAUUCAAAUUCUUUGUGCUUUCAUUCUCGUUCCUCUUAUGUAUCUUUUUAUCUACAUUGUACUUGCUUAGCAAAGCCCACUUUGUAGAGGUACUUUUGCUUUUAUCUUGUAAAAGAGAGAAAAGGGUUCUACCUUAGCCUUCAAAAGGUAAGAUUUAGAGGUUGUGCCAUAUCCUUGAAAAGGCAUAGAGGUUUUAACUUAGCUUUGAAAAGUUAGGAAGGUUGUGUCUUAUUCUUGAAAAGACAAGGUUUGUGCUUAAACCUUUGAAAAGGCACGUUGUAUUAAAUUUAUUUAAUAGUGGAUUAAACUCCUUAGCUUGCUAAGGGAGAGGACGUAGGCAC